rnacentral:rRNA from 1 species
CCUACGGGGCGCAGCAGUGAGGAAUAUUGGUCAAUGGGCGCGAGCCUGAACCAGCCAAGUCGCGUGAGGGAUGACGGUCCUACGGAUUGUAAACCUCUUUUGCCGGGGAGCAAGCGUGCGUUCGUGAACGCGCGUCGAGAGUACCCGGAGAAAAAGCAUCGGCUAACUCCGUGCCAGCAGCCGCGGUAAUACGUAGGUGGCGAGCGUUAUCCGGAAUGAUUGGGCGUAAAGGGUGCGCAGGCGGUUGUUUUAGGCUGAAGUAAAAGCCAUCGGCGCA